rnacentral:rRNA from 1 species
CUUAUGGGUGGCGAGUGGCGGACGGGUGAGGAAUACAUCGGAAUCUACUUUUUCGUGGGGGAUAACGUAGGGAAACUUACGCUAAUACCGCAUACGACCUUCGGGUGAAAGCAGGGGACCUUCGGGCCUUGCGCGAUUGAAUGAGCCGAUGUCGGAUUAGCUAGUUGGCGGGGUAAAGGCCCACCAAGGCGACGAUCCGUAGCUGGUCUGAGAGGAUGAUCAGCCACACUGGAACUGAGACACGGUCCAGACUCCUACGGGAGGCAGCAGUGGGGAAUAUUGGACAAUGGGCGCAAGCCUGAUCCAGCCAUACCGCGUGGGUGAAGAAGGCCUUCGGGUUGUAAAGCCCUUUUGUUGGGAAAGAAAAGCAGCGGGCUAAUACCUUGCUGUUCUGACGGUACCCAAAGAAUAAGCACCGGCUAACUUCGUGCCAGCAGCCGCGGUAAUACGAAGGGUGCAAGCGUUACUCGGAAUUACUGGGCGUAAAGCGUGCGUAGGUGGUUGUUUAAGUCUGUUGUGAAAGCCCUGGGCUCAACCUGGGAACUGCAGUGGAAACUGGAUGACUAGAGUGUGGUAGAGGGUAGCGGAAUUCCCGGUGUA